UACGGGGGGGGCAAGCGUUGUUCGGAAUUACUGGGCGUAAAGGGCUCGUAGGCGGCCAACUAAGUCGGACGUGAAAUCCCUCGGCUUAACCGGGGAACUGCGUCCGAUACUGGAUGGCUUGAGUUCGGGAGAGGGAUGCGGAAUUCCAGGUGUAGCGGUGAAAUGCGUAGAUAUCUGGAGGAACACCUAUGGCGAAGGCAGCUCGCUGGGACGGUACUGACGCUGAGACGCGAAAGCGUGGGGAGCAAACAGG
rnacentral:rRNA from 1 species